AAUGAACGUUGGCGGCGUGGAUUAGGCAUGCAAGUCGCGCGAUUUCCUUCGGGGAAGAGCGGCGGAAGGGAGAGUAACGCGUAGAUACCUACCCUCGGGACCGGAAUAGCGACGGGAAACUGUCGGUAAUGCCGGAUAACGUCCCUGGACCAAAGGUGUGAAUCCGCCUGAGGAGGGGUCUGCGUCCUAUUAGCUAGUCGGCGGGGUAACGGCCCACCGAGGCGAAGAUGGGUACCGGGCGUGAGAGCGUGACCCGGCUCACUGGGACUGAGACACUGCCCAGACACCUACGGGUGGCUGCAGUCGAGAAUCUUCGGCAAUGAGCGCAAGCUUGACCGAGCGACGCCGCGUGCGGGAUGAAGGCUUUCGGGUUGUAAACCGCUGUCAGUGGGGAGGAAAUUCUUGGGGGAACUCCCCCUUGAUUGACCGAUCCGCAGAGGAAGGACGGGCUAAGUUCGUGCCAGCCGCCGCGGUAACAC
rnacentral:rRNA from 1 species